rnacentral:rRNA from 1 species
GAUGAACGCUGGCGGCGUGCCUAAUACAUGCAAGUCGGGCGAACAGAUAAGGAGCUUGCUCCUUUGAAGUUAGCGGCGGACGGGUGAGUAACACGUGGGUAACCUACCUAUAAGACUGGGAUAACUUCGGGAAACCGGAGCUAAUACCGGAUAACAUUUAGAACCGCAUGGUUCUAAAGUGAAAGAUGGUUUUGCUAUCACUUAUAGAUGGACCCGCGCCGUAUUAGCUAGUUGGUAAGGUAACGGCUUACCAAGGCGACGAUACGUAGCCGACCUGAGAGGGUGAUCGGCCACACUGGAACUGAGACACGGUCCAGACUCCUACGGGAGGCAGCAGUAGGGAAUCUUCCGCAAUGGGCGAAAGCCUGACGGAGCAACGCCGCGUGAGUGAUGAAGGGUUUCGGCUCGUAAAACUCUGUUAUUAGGGAAGAACAAAUGUGUAAGUAACUGUGCACAUCUUGACGGUACCUAAUCAGAAAGCCACGGCUAACUACGUG